UACGGGGGGUGCAAGCGUUAUUCGGAUUCAUUGGGCGUAAAGGGCGCGUAGGCGGCCGUGUAAGUCUGGUGUGUAAACGCUACCGCUCAACGGAGCGAUUGCAUUGGAUACUGCAUGGCUUGAGGGCGAGAGAGGUGAGCAGAAUGAGUGGUGUAGCGGUGGAAUGCGUAGAUAUCACUCAGAAUACCUGUGGCGAAGGCGGCUCACUGGCUCGCAUCUGACGCUGAGGCGCGAAAGCGUGGGGAGCAAACGGG
rnacentral:rRNA from 1 species